UACAGAGGGGGCAAGCGUUGUUCGGAAUUACUGGGCGUAAAGGGCGCGUAGGCGGCCUGCUAAGUCGAACGUGAAAUCCCCGGGCUCAACCCGGGAACUGCGUCCGAUACUGGCGGGCUUGAAUUCGGGAGAGGGAUGUGGAAUUCCAGGUGUAGCGGUGAAAUGCGUAGAUAUCUGGAGGAACACCGGUGGCGAAGGCGGCAUCCUGGACCGAUAUUGACGCUGAUGCGCGAAAGCCAGGGGAGCAAACGGG
rnacentral:rRNA from 1 species